UAGGGAAUCUUCGGCAAUGGACGAAAGUCUGACCGAGCAACGCCGCGUGAGUGAAGAAGGUUUUCGGAUCGUAAAACUCUGUUGUUAGAGAAGAACAAGGACGUUAGUAACUGAACGUCCCCUGACGGUAUCUAACCAGAAAGCCACGGCUAACUACGUGCCAGCAGCCGCGGUAAUACGUAGGUGGCAAGCGUUGUCCGGAUUUAUUGGGCGUAAAGCGAGCGCAGGCGGUUUCUUAAGUCUGAUGUGAAAGCCCCCGGCUCAACCGGGGAGGGUCAUUGGAAACUGGGAGACUUGAGUGCAGAAGAGGAGAGUGGAAUUCCAUGGGUAGCGGUGAAAUGCGUAGAUAUAUGGAGGAACACCAGUGGCGAAGGCGGCUCUCUGGUCUGUAACUGACGCUGAGGCUCGAAAGCGUGGGGAGCAAACAGG
rnacentral:rRNA from 2 species